UCAUCCUUCUUUGCAACUAAAGCUAGAAUGACAUUGUUGAUCCACUCAAGAUUAAUGUAGGAAUCAAAGAGGUGUUAAGAAAUAAGAAAGAUAUCAUGACUAACUACAUCCCAAAAAUGCUGGAAAAAAUACAUUGAGAACCCAUCAAGCCCUGCACUUUUGUCGUGCCCCGAACUCAACACUCAUAUCGGCCGCGUGAUACGGCACACACUCUCUAGAAAGAUGCCCUAUAGAAUAUGCAAGGCAUGACAUUUUACUACAACCUCAAUAUCAUUGAAUGAUAAUGAUCUCAAUUCAUAACUAAUAACAAAAUAUGUAUAAUUACAAAAUAAAAACAUCCGACCGGUAUCAGUGAUGCAUCUAUUCAUCCUUUCACACAUGAUCCCAACCACAGCCAAGUACCAAACAUCCUGUGACUCUAAAAGAAAAAAGAAAAGAGGUGGUGUGAGCUUUACAGCCUAGUAAAAACCCCCAUAUUUCUUACACCAACACAAUAAUAUAAGUUUGAAAAUAGCAAAAAAUCAUUACACACAUUAUGAAAUCGCAAUCGACUAUU
rnacentral:lncRNA from 1 species